GUCCCUUCGGGUACAUGCGAUAAAACUGGAAUGAUACAGGGAAGAUUAGCAUUGCCCCUUCUCAAGGAUGACACGCACAAAUUAAGUAAUGGUCCAUUAAAAA
rfam:Triticum aestivum genome assembly, contig: Triticum_aestivum_CS42_TGACv1_scaffold_095356_2AL